rnacentral:rRNA from 1 species
GAGUUUGAUCCUGGCUCAGAUUGAACGCUGGCGGCAGGCCUAACACAUGCAAGUCGAGCGGAAACGAGUUAACUGAACCUUCGGGGAACGUUAACGGCGUCGAGCGGCGGACGGGUGAGUAAUGCCUGGGAAAUUGCCCUGAUGUGGGGGAUAACCAUUGGAAACGAUGGCUAAUACCGCAUAAUAGCUCCGGCUCAAAGAGGGGGACCUUCGGGCCUCUCGCGUCAGGAUAUGCCCAGGUGGGAUUAGCUAGUUGGUGAGGUAAUGGCUCACCAAGGCGACGAUCCCUAGCUGGUCUGAGAGGAUGAUCAGCCACACUGGAACUGAGACACGGUCCAGACUCCUACGGGAGGCAGCAGUGGGGAAUAUUGCACAAUGGGCGCAAGCCUGAUGCAGCCAUGCCGCGUGUAUGAAGAAGGCCUUCGGGUUGUAAAGUACUUUCAGCAGUGAGGAAGGUGGGUAUGUUAAUAGCAUAUUCAUUUGACGUUAGCUGCAGAAGAAGCACCGGCUAACUCCGUGCCAGCAGCCGCGGUAAUACGGAGGGUGCGAGCGUUAAUCGGAAUUACUGGGCGUAAAGCGCAUGCAGGUGGUUUGUUAAGUCAGAUGUGAAAGCCCGGGGCUCAACCUCGGAAUUGCAUUUGAAACUGGCAAACUAGAGUACUGUAGAGGGGGGUAGAAUUUCAGGUGUAGCGGUGAAAUGCGUAGAGAUCUGAAGGAAUACCGGUGGCGAAGGCGGCCCCCUGGACAGAUACUGACACUCAGAUGCGAAAGCGUGGGGAGCAAACAGGAUUAGAUACCCUGGUAGUCCACGCCGUAAACGAUGUCUACUUGGAGGUUGCGGCCUUGAGCCGUGGCUUUCGGAGCUAACGCGUUAAGUAGACCGCCUGGGGAGUACGGUCGCAAGAUUAAAACUCAAAUGAAUUGACGGGGGCCCGCACAAGCGGUGGAACAUGUGGUUUAAUUCGAUGCAACGCGAAGAACCUUACCUACUCUUGACAUCUACAGAAGCCAGCGGAAACCCAGGUGUGCCUUCGGGAACUGUAAAACAGGUGCUGCAUGGCUGUCGUCACCUCGGUUUGGAAAUGUUGGGUUAAUCCCGCAACGAGCGCACCCUUAUCCUUGUUUGCCAACCUUCCNA